rnacentral:rRNA from 1 species
GACGUAGGAGGCGAGCGUUGUCCGGAUUCAUUGGGCGUAAAGAGCGCGCAGGCGGCUUGGUAAGUCGGAUGUGAAAUCCCGAGGCUCAACCUCGGGUCUGCAUCCGAUACUGCCCGGCUAGAGGUAGGUAGGGGAGAUCGGAAUUCCUGGUGUAGCGGUGAAAUGCGCAGAUAUCAGGAGGAACACCGGUGGCGAAAGCGGCUCUCUGGGACGGUACUGACGCUGAGACGCGAAAGCGUGGGGAGCGAACAGG